UACGAAGGUGGCAAGCGUUGUUCGGAUUUACUGGGCGUAAAGGGAGCGUAGGUGGUUAGGUAAGCCCUCCGGGAAAUCUUCAGGCUUAACCUGAAAAGGUCGGGGGGGACUGCCUGGCUAGAGGACGGGAGAGGAGCGCGGAAUUCCCGGUGUAGCGGUGAAAUGCGUAGAGAUCGGGAGGAAGGCCGGUGGCGAAGGCGGCGCUCUGGAACGUUUCUGACACUGAGGCUCGAAAGCUAGGGGAGCAAACAGG
rnacentral:rRNA from 1 species